GACGAACGCUGGCGGCGUGCUUAACACAUGCAAGUCGAGCGGAGCGGCUAACGGGUGAGUAACGCGUGAGUACCUGCCCCCCUCUCUGGGAUCACAUUUGGAAAAGGCUGCUAAUCCCGGAUAGUGGGGGAUGACUCGCGUCUUACCAGCUGGUUGGUGGGGUAGUGGCCUACCAAGGCGACGACGGGUAGCCGGCCUGAGAGGGCGACCGGCCACAUUGGGCUGGGAUACGACCCAAGCUCCUACGGGAGGCAGCAGAGGGGAAUAGUGCACAAUGGGGGAAACCCUGAUGCAGCGUCGCCGGGUGCGGGAGGACGGCCUUCGGGUUGUAAACCGCUAUCAGCCAUGACGCGGUAGUGGCAGAGAAAGCACCGGCUAACUACGUGCCAGCGGCCGCGGUAAUUC
rnacentral:rRNA from 1 species